GAAGGGAAUAUUGGGCAAUGGUCGGAAGACUGACCCAGCCAUGCCGCGUGCAGGAAGACGGCCCUCUGGGUUGUAAACUGCUUUUAUCUGGGAAGAAAAAGGCCAUGCGUGGCAAAUUGCCGGUACCAGAUGAAUAAGCACCGGCUAACUCCGUGCCAGCAGCCGCGGUAAUACGGAGGGUGCGAGCGUUGUCCGGAUUUAUUGGGUUUAAAGGGUGCGUAGGCGGCUGAUUAAGUCAGCGGUGAAAGACUUCGGCUUAAACAGAGCAGUGCCGUUGAUACUGGUUGGCUUGAGUGUCGGAGGGGUACAUGUAAUUGAUGGUGUAGCGGUGAAAUGCAUAGAUACCAUCAGGAACACCGAUAGCGAAGGCAUUGUACUGGCCGACAACUGACGCUGAUGCACGAAAGUGUGGGGAUCGAACAGGAUUAGAAACCCUGGUAGUCC
rnacentral:rRNA from 1 species